rnacentral:rRNA from 1 species
AGAUUGAACGCUGGCGGCAGGCUUACACAUGCAAGUCGAACGGUAGCACGGGGGGCGACCUGGUGGCGAGUGGCGAACGGGUGAGUAAUGCAUCGGAACGUGCCCGGUAGUGGGGGAUAACCCGAGAAAUCGGGCCUAAUACCGCAUGAGCCCGGGAGGAAAGCGGGGGACCUGAUGAGGGCCUCGCGCUAUCGGAGCGGCCGAUGUCCGAUUAGCUGGUUGGUGGGGUAAAGGCCCACCAAGGCGACGAUCGGUAGCGGGUCUGAGAGGACGGCCCGCCACACUGGGACUGAGACACGGCCCAGACUCCUACGGGAGGCAGCAGUGGGGAAUUUUGGACAAUGGGCGAAACUGGAAUCCAGCCAUGCCGCGUGGGAAAGGAAGGCCUUCGGGUUGUAAACCGCUUUCGGCCGGGACGAAAUCGCCCGCAUGAACAGUGUGGGUGGAUGACGGUACUGGCAGAAGAAGCACCGGCUAACUACGUGCCAGCAGCCGCGGUAAUACGUAGGGUGCGAGCGUUAAUCGGAAUUACUGGGCGUAAAGCGUGCGCAGGCGGCCCUUUAAGUCAGGUGUGAAAGCCCCGGGUUAACCUGGGAAUGGCGCUUGAAACUGGAGGGCUUGGAGUGCGGCAGAGGGGGGUGGAAUUCCUGGUGUAGCGGUGAAAUGCGUAGAGAUCAGGAGGAACACCGAUGGCGAAGGAGCCCCCUGGGCGGCGUCUGACGCUCAGGCACGAAAGCGUGGGGGAGCAAACAGGAUUAGAUACCCUGGUAGUCCACGC